CACGUAGGGUGCGAGCGUUGUCCGGAAUUAUUGGGCGUAAAGAGCUCGUAGGCGGUGUGUCGCGUCGGUCGUGAAAACUUGCAGCUUAACUGUGGGCGUGCGGUCGAUACGGGCAUCACUGGAGUUCGGCAGGGGAGACUGGAAUUCCUGGUGUAGCGGUGGAAUGCGCAGAUAUCAGGAGGAACACCGGUGGCGAAGGCGGGUCUCUGGGCCGUAACUGACGCUGAGGAGCGAAAGCAUGGGGAGCGAACAGG
rnacentral:rRNA from 1 species